AAGGAUUUAGGGUUGGUACAGUUGAGAACUUUGGCACCUUUGAGACCUGAUCAGAGGCUAGCCAAUUUCGAUGAGAAUACGAAAUGUGAAUUUCAUUCAGGUGCUCCCGGGCACAAUGUAGAAGACUGCAAAGCUUUUAAGCACGUAGUCCAAGACCUGGUGGAUUCAAAAGAAAUCAACUUUGCGCCGUCUCCCAAUGUGAAUGCUAAUCUCAUGCCC
rnacentral:lncRNA from 1 species